rnacentral:rRNA from 3 species
GGGUUGUGAGGUUAAGCGACUAAGCGUACACGGUGGAUGCCCUGGCAGUCAGAGGCGAUGAAGGACGUGCUAAUCUGCGAUAAGCGUCGGUAAGGUGAUAUGAACCGUUAUAACCGGCGAUUU